UUGGUUAAGUUAGAAAGGGCGCACGGUGGAUGCCUUGGCACUAGGAGCCGAAGAAGGACGGGACUAACACCGAUAUGCUUUGGGGAGCUGUACGUAAGCGUUGAUCCAGAGAUUUCCGAAUGGGGGAACCCACUAUCUUUAGUCGGAUAGUAUCCUUACGUGAAUACAUAGCGUGAGGAAGGCAGACCCAGGGAACUGAAACAUCUAAGUACCUGGAGGAAGAGAAAGAAAAAUCGAUUUCCUGAGUAGCGGCGAGCGAAACGGAAAGAGCCCAAACCAAGAAGCUUGCUUCUUGGGGUUGUAGGACACUCUAUACGGAGUUACAAAAGAAAGUUAUAAAUGAAGCGGUCUGGAAAGGCCCGCCAAAGACGGUAACAGCCCGGUAGUUGAAAUGGCUUUCCCUCCAGAGUGGAUCCUGAGUACGGCGGAACACGUGAAAUUCCGUCGGAAUCCGGGAGGACCAUCUCCCAAGGCUAAAUACUCCCUAGUGACCGAUAGUGAACCAGUACCGUGAGGGAAAGGUGAAAAGCACCCCGGAAGGGGAGUGAAACAGUUCCUGAAACCGUGUGCCUACAAGUAGUUAGAGCCCGUUAAUGGGUGAUAGCGUGCCUUUUGUAGAAUGAACCGGCGAGUUACGAUUUGUUGCAAGGUUAAGCGGAAAAAGCGGAGCCGUAGCGAAAGCGAGUCUGAAUAGGGCGCAUAAGUAACAGGUCGUAGACCCGAAACCAGGUGAUCUACCCAUGUCCAGGAUGAAGGUAAGGUAAUACUUACUGGAGGUCCGAACCCACGCACGUUGAAAAGUGCGGGGAUGAGGUGUGGGUAGCGGAGAAAUUCCAAUCGAACUUGGAGAUAGCUGGUUCUCUCCGAAAUAGCUUUAGGGCUAGCCUCGAGGUAAAGAGUCAUGGAGGUAGAGCACUG
rnacentral:rRNA from 1 species